GAUGAAGAACGCAGCGAAAUGCGAUAAGUAAUGUGAAUUGCAGAAUUCAGUGAAUCAUCGAAUCUUUGAACGCACAUUGCGCCCCCUGGUAUUCCGGGGGGCAUGCCUGUUCGAGCGUCAUUUCACCACUCAAGCCUCGCUUGGUAUUGGGCAACGCGGUCCGCCGCGUGCCUCAAAUCGACCGGCUGGGUCUUCUGUCCCCUAAGCGUUGUGGAAACUAUUCGCUAAAGGGUGUUCGGGAGGCUACGCCGUAAAACAACCCCAUUUCUAAGGUUGACCUCGGAUCAGGUAGGGAUACCCGCUGAACUUAAGCACAUCAAUAAGCGGAGGA
rnacentral:misc_RNA from 1 species